rnacentral:lncRNA from 1 species
GUUGUGUCCUAGUCAUCUCAUCGAAGGGUAUUGCCCUUCCUGCAUUGUACUGGAAUGAAUGCCAUACAUUUGGCCGGCGAGGUUGCGGCCUGAAUGUUCUUCCAUUCUCUACUGGCCUAAACUGCCUCUCAAAAGGCGGUCCUUUAUAGAAUGAUGUACCUAGCCCUCUACCAAGCUGAGUGUUUGGAAAGAAGGUAGGGCGAUAAGGAUGCUGCCAUGUCCCUGGUUUCUCCGUAUUUCCAUUCACUUCUCUUUUACACCUUGCACACAGGACGUCUUCGUCAUUUUUUGGUUC